GAGUGGCAGUGGAGUGUGACCGGAAGUGCAAAGGCCGCCUGUGCGGGGACACGUGGGGGCGAGCUUGAGCUGAGGGCGCGAGUGAAGGGGGUGGUGGUGUUUGCAGAGUUCAACGGAGUGUCGUUUACGCCGGCGACUUCUCCUCGUUCUCUUUUUUGCGGGGUUGAGCUAAUAGAAUCUGGCCACGUCAGCUGGUGCUUUUGCGUGGGUGGGGGCGCAUGAUUGUGUUUAAUGAAUGAUCAGGCGUUUCGCGCGUUUGACACAAACGAAUCUGGACCGUCUAGUUUAGGUCACGACCUUUUUUUUUUUGAUGAUGUUGACGACUCCACUUACCGCGCGAAACGAUCCUGCUUUGACGUGGGCCACAUGGCAGGAGGAGGAUUAAGAACUUUCGUU
rnacentral:lncRNA from 1 species